rnacentral:rRNA from 1 species
GAUGAACGCUGGCGGCGUGCUUAACACAUGCAAGUCGAACGGAAAGGCCCUGCUUUUGUGGGGUGCUCGAGUGGCGAACGGGUGAGUAACACGUGAGUAACCUGCCCUUGACUUUGGGAUAACUUCAGGAAACUGGGGCUAAUACCGGAUAGGAGCUCCCGCAGCAGGGUGGGGGUUGGAAAGUCUCGGCGGUUGGGGAUGGACUGGCGGCUUAUCAGCUUGUUGGUGGGGGAGUGGCUUACCAAGCCUUUGACGGGUAGGCGGCCUGGGAGGGUGGCCGGCCACAUUGGGACUACGAUACGGCCCAGUCUCGAACGGUAGACAGCGGUGGGAAAUAUUGCCCAGUGGGCGGGAGCGUGAGAAGAAGGCGCCGCGUGCGGGAUGACGGCCUUCGGGUUGUAAACCGCUUUCGCCUAUGACGAAGCGUGAGUGACGGUAAUGGGUAAAGAAGCACCGGCUAACUACGUG